rnacentral:rRNA from 1 species
UACGUAGGGUCCGAGCGUUGUCCGGAAUUAUUGGGCGUAAAGGGCUCGUAGGCGGUUUGUCACGUCGGAAGUGAAAACUCAGGGCUCAACCCUGAGCGUGCUUACGAUACGGGCAAACUAGAGGUAUGCAGGGGAGAACGGAAUUCCUGGUGUAGCGGUGGAAUGCGCAGAUAUCAGGAGGAACACCGGUGGCGAAGGCGGUUCUCUGGGCCGUAACUGACGCUGAGGAGCGAAAGCAUGGGGAGCGAACAGG